GGGCAUAUGGUGUAGCUGGUUAUCACGCCCGCUUAGCAUUACGUAAGCUUAUCUGCGGGCGGUCUCCGGUUCGAGUCCGGAUUUGUCCA